GGCUCAUAUAGCCUAGUGGUUAGAGCGUUUGUCUUGGAUGCGAGAGGUCGGGGAUUCAAACCUCUGCCGAGUCA